AGGGAAACGGGCGGGGUGCCUAUACAUGCAGUCGAACGAGUUCUCGUUGAUGAUCGGUGCUUGCACCGAGAUUCAACAUGGAACGAGUGGCGGACGGGUGAGUAACACGUGGGUAACCUGCCCUUAAGUGGGGGAUAACAUUUGGAAACAGAUGCUAAUACCGCAUAGAUCCAAGAACCGCAUGGUUCUUGGCUGAAAGAUGGCGUAAGCUAUCGCUUUUGGAUGGACCCGCGGCGUAUUAGCUAGUUGGUGAGGUAAUGGCUCACCAAGGCGAUGAUACGUAGCCGAACUGAGAGGUUGAUCGGCCACAUUGGGACUGAGACACGGCCCAAACUCCUACGGGAGGCAGCAGUAGGGAAUCUUCCACAAUGGACGCAAGUCUGAUGGAGCAACGCCGCGUGAGUGAAGAAGGCUUUCGGGUCGUAAAACUCUGUUGUUGGAGAAGAAUGGUCGGCAGAGUAACUGUUGUCGGCGUGACGGUAUCCAACCAGAAAGCCGCGGCUAACUACGUGCCAGCAGCCGCGGUAAUACGUAGGUGGCAAGCGUUAUCCGGAUUUAUUGCAGCGUAAAGCGAGCGCAGGCGGUUUUUUAAGUCUGAUGUGAAAGCCCUCGGCUUAACCGAGGAAGCGCAUCGGAAACUGGGAAACUUGAGUGCAGAAGAGGACAGUGGAACUCCAUGUGUAGCGGUGAAAUGCGUAGAUAUAUGGAAGAACACCAGUGGCGAAGGCGGCUGUCUGGUCUGUAACUGACGCUGAGGCUCGAAAGCAUGGGUAGCGAACAGGAUUAGAUACCCUGGUAGUCCAUGCCGUAAACGAUGAAUGCUAGGUGUUGGAGGGUUUCCGCCCUUCAGUGCCGCAGCUAACGCAUUAAGCAUUCCGCCUGGGGAGUACGACCGCAAGGUUGAAACUCAAAGGAAUUGACGGGGGCCCGCACAAGCGGUGGAGCAUGUGGUUUAAUUCGAAGCAACGCGAAGAACCUUACCAGGUCUUGACAUCUUUUGAUCACCUGAGAGAUCAGGUUUCCCCUUCGGGGGCAAAAUGACAGGUGGUGCAUGGUUGUCGUCAGCUCGUGUCGUGAGAUGUUGGGUUAAGUCCCGCAACGAGCGCAACCCUUAUGACUAGUUGCCAGCAUUUAGUUGGGCACUCUAGUAAGACUGCCGGUGACAAACCGGAGGAAGGUGGGGAUGACGUCAAAUCAUCAUGCCCCUUAUGACCUGGGCUACACACGUGCUACAAUGGAUGGUACAACGAGUUGCGAGACCGCGAGGUCAAGCUAAUCUCUUAAAGCCAUUCUCAGUUCGGACUGUAGGCUGCAACUCGCCUACACGAAGUCGGAAUCGCUAGUAAUCGCGGAUCAGCACGCCGCGGUGAAUACGUUCCCGGGCCUUGUACACACCGCCCGUCACACCAUGAGAGUUUGUAACACCCGAAGCCGGUGGCGUAACCCUUUUAGGGAGCGAGCCGUCUAAGGUGACAAAAU
rnacentral:rRNA from 1 species